ACUCGUGCCCAGAGAGAAAGAGAAAAACUGCUGACCCUGUAAGAGAGAACAGGCCGUCUUGCAGACAGACAGAGGUGAGCCAGGAAUUAACAAGCAUGCCAAGGAGUACAGCUGUAAGUGUGGGAGCGGCAGGAGCCACAGAGCCGGUUGCUGAGAAGGGCUGCAGUUGGAGGAGGCAGAUAGUGUGAGAGCUGCAGCAGCUGCUGCUGAAUAAAAUCAUAUUUUACCUGCCUACAGCCCCGAGUGUUCUUUCAACUACCUGCCACCCAUCCAACAACUCCCCUCGGACCUCAGUAUGGGCUGGAACCUGACACUUGGCAUGACAGUGAAGGGAAAAGUAAGAUAUUCUGAAAGACAGCCUAUCCCAGAAGCCAUGAGACCUGGGCCUGAUCUAAGAGGGAAGGGAAACCUGAGAUUCCUGUGAACCAGCUGGGACUAGAUUUUAAACUAGAAGUGAGUGACUGCAAAAUUAUUUGACUGGACUCAGAUGUCAACUUUGGGAUUCCAAAGACAGAGGUUUGAGUGUAAAACACAAA
rnacentral:sRNA from 1 species